AUGAACGCUGGCGGCGUGCCUAAUACAUGCAAGUCGAGCGAACAGACGAGGACCUUGCUCCUCUGACGUUAGCGGCGGACGGGUGAGUAACACGUGGAUAACCUACCUAUAAGACUGGGAUAACUUCGGGAAACCGGAGCUAAUACCGGAUAAUAUAUUAAACCGCAUGGUUCAAUAGUGAAAUACGGUUUUGCUGUCACUUAUAGAUGGAUCCGCGCCGCAUUAGCUAGUUGGUAAGGUAACGGCUUACCAAGGCAACGAUGCGUAGCCGACCUGAGAGGGUGAUCGGCCACACUGGAACUGAGACACGGUCCAGACUCCUACGGGAGGCAGCAGUAGGGAAUCUUCCGCAAUGGGCGAAAGCCUGACGGAGCAACGCCGCGUGAGUGAUGAAGGUCUUCGGAUCGUAAAACUCUGUUAUUAGGGAAGAACAAAUGUGUAAGUAACUAUGCACGUCUUGACGGUACCUAAUCAGAAAGCCACGGCUAACUACGUG
rnacentral:rRNA from 1 species